AUGAACGCUAGCUACAGGCUUAACACAUGCAAGUCGAGGGGCAGCAUGUCGGUUGCUUGCAACCGGUGAUGGCGACCGGCGCACGGGUGAGUAACGCGUAUCCAACCUACCCUUGUCCAUCGGAUAACCCGUCGAAAGGCGGCCUAACACGAUAUGCGGUUCUCAGCAGGCAUCUAACGAGAACGAAAUGUGAAGGAGAAGGAUGGGGAUGCGUCUGAUUAGCUUGUUGGCGGGGUAACGGCCCACCAAGGCUACGAUCAGUAGGGGUUCUGAGAGGAAGGUCCCCCGCAUUGGAACUGAGACACGGUCCAAACUCCUACGGGAGGCAGCAGUGAGGAAUAUUGGUCAAUGGACGAGAGUCUGAACCAGCCAAGUAGCGUGCAGGAUGACGGCCCUAUGGGUUGUAAACUGCUUUUAUAGGGGGAUAAAGUGUGCCACGUGUGGCAUAUUGCAGGUACCCUAUGAAUAAGGACCGGCUAAUUCCGUGCCAGCAGCCGCGGUAAUACGGAAGGUCCGGGCGUUAUCCGGAUUUAUUGGGUUUAAAGGGAGCGUAGGCCGUUUGGUAAGCGUGUUGUGAAAUGUCGGGGCUCAACCUGGGCAUUGCAGCGCGAACUGUCAGACUUGAGUGCGCAGGAAGUAGGCGGAAUUCGUCGUGUAGCGGUGAAAUGCUUAGAUAUGACGAAGAACUCCGAUUGCGAAGGCAGCCUGCUGUAGCGCAACUGACGCUGAAGCUCGAAAGUGCGGGUAUCGAACAGGAUUAGAUACCCUGGUAGUCCGCACGGUAAACGAUGGAUGCCCGCUGUUGGUCUGAAUAGGUCAGCGGCCAAGCGAAAGCAUUAAGCAUCCCACCUGGGGAGUACGCCGGCAACGGUGAAACUCAAAGGAAUUGACGG
rnacentral:rRNA from 1 species